rnacentral:lncRNA from 1 species
GUCACAAGCAGAGACAGUCUAAGAUGCCUGCCCCCCAAAUCCCCAAUUGUUUAGAGCCACAUUCUCUGCAUUUGUCACAUCUUCUAUAACACUGUGAAUUAUGAAGUGUGAGGCCUCAAUUCAAUCAUGAUUAAUUUUAUUAAAGGGGUGGAGAGAAGUGAAACUAACAUCUGUCUAUUAAUGACGUGCAUAGCAGACACCCCUUUUAUCCAAAUAGAAAAAACAAAAGCAAACUUUUAAAAAACCUCUAUAAUAACACACCAGAAAACAUUAAAACGUGAAAAGCUCUAUUCAUGUAAGACAACAUGCCGUACAUUAAGCACAUACUAUGGUAAAGAACAAUUAACCGUAAUCGGUCACCUGACACUCUCUGAUUAAUUAAUUUUAGCCUCCAGUCACAUCGUUUAAAGCACAAUGCCAUGUGAAGGCAUUGUCCAAAUAAAAUCUGUAUCUCGAGGAUCUCAUCAUGCAUGAAGUUCGUGUGUCCCUGCCAGCUCGCCUUUCUCUCUGCGGUUGAUGAGGAUUUCACACAGGCCGAAGCUGGUGCGCAUCCUCGUGGGCCAGGUCUCCGUUUGGACUGGACUGUGCCCCCCAGCUGCCUGGCAUUCCCUCUUCAGACCCACUCGGACUUUCUGGAUCUCAGGCUAGCGGGCGGGUCGGGGGGCUGCAGCUGACUGGACGGACAGCGCUGGGUGGGCCGGCUCCGUGGUGCUACUGGGUGCUCCUCUGACCUCGUAGCACCCUCGUCCCUUGGGUCCCCGGAGGCCUCUCUGUGGGGCCCGCUCCCCGGCUCUUUGCUGGCCGAGGACAUCACGUCACUGUCCUCUUCAUCAGGAAGCCCUGUCCGCACUGACCCGGCGGACUUAGCGCUGGGGUUGCGGGCACCCUCCCCUGCAGCCCACGGGCCGGGGUGGACUGGCACCUGCGCCUCCACCCACCCACCGCGGCUGCUGGCCGUCGGACCCGGCCUCGUCCGCUCCGGCCGGGCGGCUGCGCGCAGGUGGGCGCUCAUUCUCCCGUGCAAGCUGCAGACAAGGUCCGCCACGCUGAGCACCAGCGACAGCGCGCUGACAGCCCACAUGAAAAGCAUCAUAAUGGACUUCUCCGUGGGCCUGGAGACGUAACAGUCCACCACGCUGGUGCAGGGAGAGUGCGUGCAAGAGAAUCUCUUUGGGACCAAGAAUCCAAAGAGGAGGUAGUGCGAGGCACCAAAAGCUGCCUCGGUCAGCAUCCGAAGAAAGAGGUGGACGAUGUAGCCGGAGGAGAAGUCUGGCACAGUCAGGUGGCGCCGCUCCCUGUCCCCAGGGCUCAGGUCAGCGGGGUCAGGGUCCCCGGGACUGUCGUCCGGCCCGCAGAAUCGGCGGGCGGCCAGCACGGCCCCCCUAUGCAGCACGUAGACGCUGAAGACCGCAGAAGGGAGGAGCACGGACACACUCUGGAUCAGCCAGAACCGCAGCUGGGACACUGGGGAGAAGAUGUCAUAGCAAACAUUGGCGCAUCCCGGCUGCAGAGUGUUGCACACAAACCUCUCCUGCUCGUCCUGGACUCCCAUACCUCUCUGAAAAUUUGAUAUGUCUGCAUCAAACUCAGAAAUAUUUAUUACGUUCUUAAAAAAAAUAAACUAAAAUUUAGAUUUGGCUUGAAAUACACAAGAGAAAUUACUAGUCUUUUACAAAUUAAGCUUCAAGAAAAAGAUGAACUGGAAGAAAGUGUAAUCAGGGCAUUAAUUUCUCUUUAAUUUGUACUGUAUUGUUCCUUCUCCUGAUAAGGCAGACAGAGAAGAGUUACACAAAGAUACUUCCUUUUGCUUCAGUCCUUCAGGCUCAGCACCCAAAUGUCAGUGAGAAGACACCCCAGGAGAGAACACUCACAUCCAAGUCUUCCUUAAAUGAUGGUGGAACUGUGGAGCGAUUAAAAGAAAGCUUGAGCACACAACUCCCUUUCUUCCCUCAAUAAACAGGACAGGCAAAGUGAUGAAAACAAAAACACAAGAGCUUUGGAGCUGUUUUCUAUACUCACCUACUAUGGUCAUGUUGCAAUUGAAGGUGAUGAGGAGGAAGCCCAGCAGAUCCAAACGUGCCAUGCCUCCAGAGCAUCACAGACCCGGGGCUGCUGGAGACAUCAGAAGCCUGUGUUCUCCAAGAAAGUGGGAAAUCUGUGCCGGAAUAAACGUAUCUUCCGUACAAAAGACUUAAAGGUGAGAGCUGCGGAUAUAAAAGGAAAGCUUGGAGCCCAGGAACGGGCCGGGGGAUGGGGGUGUGAUUUUUCCGAAUCCGGGUUGAGACAGCCCUGAGCUAUCCUCUGAGGCAAAGCAUUCUUGACAACUGCAGUGACCAGAAGACAGCAGGAGUCGUCUCUCAUUGUGGGCUAUUCUUACCCUCUUGGGACAUUCCAGGCCCGUGGCACGACUCACAUGUCUCUACCAGGAGAGCCAGAUGCUUCAGGAUAUAAUAGAAGCUACUACAUUUAACCCAAGAAAGAAAAGGUUCUGUUAACUGGCCAAGGAAACUUCUCCACUAAAAAGAUAUUUCCUCCUUGCAAAGAUUUCCACAACCCCUUCACUUGUUAAAGAAGCACUAAAAUAUUCAUGUUUUGUCUUCUCUGUGAAGCAUAAGCCAUCAUAACUCUGGCCCGCAAGGGUCUGGCCCUCAUUCUGCAUUCCUACACCAUGGAUGAAAGCAUAAGUCUGCAUCUCAGACAUGUGUGUCAACUUUAAGCUGUGACUCAGUUACUCUCUAGCUAUUUCCUAUUUGGGUGAGUGAUGAGUGCUUUUUACAUGGAUACAAAAGGCCUGGGUACAAAGCCUGGGGCAGCUACCUGGUCAGUGCGGAAGUCAAUAAGUCUCCCCACAUAUCCCCAUAUGGAUUAGGAUCCCUGCAUUAGGGAGAAUCAUGCUGUCCCAGUCAGGGCUUGUGGGAGGAAGACACAAAAUGAUGAUGUUGAGAGCACCUAGCAUGCAGUCGGUGUGCAACAACUCAGAUCACUGGAAUUUCCAUCUGUAACUGGCCCCCAACACAUUCAUAGAGUGGACCUUCUUUUUGUCUCUCCCAGCCCCAUCCAGCCAGCCCUGCUCCUGUUGAAUCAGCUUAAUAAAUGUCCAUUAAAUUUGUAAUAAAGUAUCACCAUCUGGACCUGCUGACAUCAAUCACAGUUGCAUCAAAAUCCUCUCGUGGCUGUCACCUUUAUAGCUAGGAGGAGCCCAUCUUGCAAGGCUCGGGAUCUAUCAUCAGGCUGGAAAUGGUGAACUUUAAACGGAAUGAUUUCAAUUUUCCAUGAAAGCUUUUCUUUUAUUCCCAUCUUUUCUUUAUUUCUGAUCUAUUCUUGACUUUAGUAAUAUCCCUAAAAAGAUUCCCAGAAGAGGAGUACAACAAAGGUGCUUUCAUCUUUAUUCACAUGACAGGUUUCCACCCACAGAAAACAUUUUGACCCCCUUGAAAGGCACAGUAGUUUCGCUAUAUUUUAGUCAAAUGCUUCAACAUGAACAAUGAAAUUUAGCGAAAUUGUAGUUAAGUAAAAAAUAUUGAAAUAGCCAUAUGGUUCCAGUAUAAAAUAAAGGAAAAUAUUUUUCAUUCUUAAUAGACUUUGUGAUACUGGCUUAAAAUCUGAAAUAUCAGGAAAGUAAUUUCUGAAUUUUGCUAUAUGAUAUAAAUAACCUAUUCUGAAUAUGGAAUAAAAUAGCAUUUUGC